rnacentral:rRNA from 1 species
GGACCCGCACAAGUAGUGGAGCAUGUGGUUUAAUUCGAAGAUACGCGCAGAACCUUACCAACACUUGACAUGUUCGUCGCGACUCUAAGAGAUUAGAGUUUUUCCGGUUCGGCCGGACGAAACACAGGUGCUGCAUGGCUGUCGUCAGCUCGUGUCGUGAGAUGUUGGGUUAAGUCCCGCAACGAGCGCAACCCUCACUUUUAGUUGCCAUCAUUAAGUUGGGCACUCUGAAAGAACUGCCAGUGAUAAGCUGGAGGAAGGUGGGGAUGACGUCAAGUCCUCAUGGCCCUUACGUGUUGGGCUACACACGUGCUACAUUGGGUAGAACAUAAGUUGCUAAGUUGCGAAACCAGCG